CCCUCUCUAUGGUUACUGUCCACAAUUGAACAGUGAUACUGUCACACUCCAGGAAAAAAAGGUGAAAUCUUUGCUGGUUCUGUCAUCAAAGUUCCUUGAAAAUUAUUCUAAGUAUUCAAGAAGCAAGUGCCAGGUUCCCCCAGCCUUAGAGAUGAAAGGAUGACAAGGCCAAGUGGUUUGCCAAGGUUACAUACAGACUUCAAAGAUAAGUCGAAAACUUGAGGACUCUCUCCUGCAAGUUAUUAAGGAAAUGCUGAAAAACGCCAGUCCUCUGCCUCCUCUAGUACUCAUUUCAUCUCUAAGCUCUCAGAAUACAUGGGGUCAAGGGGAGUAGUAGCUUUUUCACUAAGAAUGUCAGCACCUAACUAGAUAUGCUCAGUUUUGUCUGUAUGCUUUAUUAAAAGACCCAUUGUGCCACCUG